rnacentral:rRNA from 1 species
ACUCCUACGGGAGGCAGCAGUAGGGAAUCUUCCACAAUGGGCGCAAGCCUGAUGGAGCAACACCGCGUGAGUGAAGAAGGGUUUCGGCUCGUAAAGCUCUGUUGUUAAAGAAGAACACGUAUUAGAGUAACUGUUCAUACGUUGACGGUAUUUAACCAGAAAGUCACGGCUAACUACGUGCCAGCAGCCGCGGUAAUACGUAGGUGGCAAGCGUUAUCCGGAUUUAUUGGGGCGUAAAGAGAGUGCAGGCGGUUUUCUAAGUCUGAUGUGAAAGCCUUCGGCUUAACCGGAGAAGUGCAUCGGAAACUGGAUAACUUGAGUGCAGAAGAGGGUAGUGGAACUCCAUGUGUAGCGGUGGAAUGCGUAGAUAUAUGGAAGAACACCAGUGGCGAAGGCGGCUACCUGGUCUGCAACUGACGCUGAGACUCGAAAGCAUGGGUAGCGAACAGGAUUAGAUACCCUGGUA